ACAAUUUUGUCUUAUUUAUAUUUUUUGAUAAUUAUUUACAUAUAAGAAUCGUUUUCGUAACCGUUUCAUUGGUUUUUCUUAAGAUAAGUUGAAUAAUUAUUCGAAACAAUUAUUUAUUUUUUUUUUUUUUUCAUUUUUGCUUUUUUCAUUAAUAUCGUUUUUUUCGUGUUUUCAUUUACCGAAAUACGGAGAAUUAUAUCCCGUGUAAAAAAUCGAUGAACAACGGUAAACUCUUAUCAAGAAUUUUUCGAUAGAUUUAAUGUAACGAUCUGUUACAGAGAAAAGAAGUAUCGUGGUCGGUCGUCUGAGCGGUGGAUCACGGAUAAAUUGGAAAACAAGGCCGUGAGGACAGUUUGUCAAGGCGGUGCUAUUCAAUCCCAUUCGGAAAUAGCGGUGCGAACUAGACGGUAAAAUCCCUUCGAAAUUACUUGUUCUCAAGAGCUGAAGAAUCGUCGAACGUGCGUUCAAUAAAAAUCAUUCUUAAAAAUAUCGAGGAAUCACCUUAACAUCAUCCAUAUAUGUUAAUCAUAAAAUUAUUCGCAUCAAGAAAGUUAUAUUAUAUAAUAAUUUUAGACAUAAAUUAUUUUUCCUACUUUUUUGAUUUUCAUAUCAAGUAAGGAUUUAAGAUUUGGAUUAAAGAUUUUUAAAUAUCUUGUUAAAUAUCCUCAUCUAUUUUUAUUAGAUUAAAUGUAUUAAUUAAAUGUCAAGGAGAUCGCAAGUUUAAUCUCGCGGUGUAUGGAACAUCGUGAAGUGGUGUAGUUAUGCAAAUCGGUACCGAAACUUUUUAAUGAAAAUUUGUAAUUUCGAAUUUUCUAAGAACUCUAAACUUUCGAGAUGCGAUGAAAAUGUUAAUCAAACGGUGUCUCGGUGUUUCAACGGGAUAUUCAACGCCUGUUGUGAUUUACUGUUUGCAUUUAAACGUAGCUAUUUAGACAAUCUUUGUUCGUUUUAAUGCAGUGAUAUUAUUUUUAUACUUUGGAAAUCUUUUAGAGAAUAGAUUUUAUUUCAGCACAAGCUCAUUUGAUAAAUUAAUUUAUAAUUAUAAUUACGUAUAUCAUUGAUAUCCAAUCAUUUACAAGGAAUUUAUAACGAAAAAAGAUUAUCGAGUACAGAAAUAAAAUGGCAAAAAUAAUAUUUGAGUUUAUUAAAAAUGUUAUGUUUAAUGUUUUUUUAUGAAUGUUUUUAAUUUUUCUUUUCCUCGACACAUUUUCGAGAUUCUACUGUUUAUGAGAGAACAGAAAGAGAAGAGAAUACUACCGUGAGAAUACUAUCAUGCGAGAAUUGUCGGCAAGUACGAUACUCUACCUCUUCUAUCGCUAAAAUGGCGAAUUUCUAUAGGGAGAAUAUAUUACGUCACAUUAUUUUCAUAUACCACUGAGUCACGUGAUAUGAUGUUUAGUUUUGACGGAAACCCGGUCACGUGAUGUAUCUUUCCUAAUUCAGCAGUGAGGUUAUUUUAGCAAAUAAUAUAACGAAUCACUUUUAAUAGUAGAAGACGUACCGUGCUCAUUUAACAAUGUUACGCGCAACGGGAUAAUAAUAUCUGGUUUGAUAAGUUUUACCUUGUAAAUUGUUCAAUUUAUAUUAUCAGUUAAAGUCAAUUAGUGAUUGAUCAAUGAUCAGUUAAUAGUCAAUUGGUAUCGAUGCAACAACACAAGUGUCAAUUGAUUCUCGAGAAUGAUGAACUCGAAAGGAGAGAUCGAGAUCGUUUUGAUUGUGAAAGGAUUGCAAGAAAUGAUUUGAUUACGUCGUCAAGCCAUUUUUUUUAUCAAAAUAUUCGAACAAUUUCCUUUCGAAAGAUGGAAGAAAGUGAUCGAAAAAUAAUAAAUAAUAAGUAUUCUUCACGAUACACAUCGUAAUCGUAAAAAAAAAAAAAAAAGAAAAGAAAAGAAAAAGCAGCUAAACUGAAGUGGAUAUUAUAGCACGAACGAGGUAAUGUAACAUGUAAACGUGGAAUUUUUAACAAGUUCUAUUGUACGAUUUCAAAGGCGGAGAAAGAGGAUAUGUAAACGUAUCCUCGAUAUACGGGGAACGAUAUCACGUGCCGUUCUCGAUCUCAUGGAUCCAACUAUUCCUAAUGGAUGCAGGACGCAUCUAUCAUCCCUCGUCAUCAACGUCAAAAUUCUGGCCAAACACGGCAGCCAUCGUCUCGCCACUGAAUACCGACUACUGAAUACAAAAGAGCAACUGACGAAUGGCAGACUACUUUCCGCCAUCCUCUUUCUCGCUUCUCUUCGGCCUGUGCACGAACGCUCGUUAUUCGGAAUUACUCAUUAUUCAGGCGAAUUUUUAUUUCUCUUCUUGACCAUUUGAUUCCUUCCUUUCGUUUUUUUCUCUUUUAUUUUCAACUCGCAAAAGUUGAAAUCGACGUGAAGAAAUAUUUAAGAAUUUUAAUGUGUCAUUAAAAAAGUUGUGUUAAACGAGCUUUCGAGUAAUAGAACGAAGUAACAAAAGUUUCAAAAUUUAGAAAUGAAAUCAUGUUUCGAAUAACGUAACGUUUUUCGAUAUAAAUGAAUGUUGCAAGUGUUUUAUGAAGAAAUGUUUGAAGAAAUGAAGAAAUGUUUAAAUGUUUACAUCGUAUGAUUUUUAUUAAUCUUUAAAAUGUUAUAUAAUGUUAUAUAUUUUUGUUAACAGAAUUAAUUACAAUAAUUAUCGGGGAUAAAAAGAAACGUAAUUGCGCGUUAAUUGUGAGGGAAGAUUUUCAAGAUAAGCAAAAGAAUAAGAUAGUGUACGAUUUGCAUUUUAUUACUUAUUUUAUUCGAAUGCGUUGUAUGCGCGCAAUACAAAGCUAAAGAAUAUAUAAAUUAAGCAAAAACAUUGGCGUCAAUAAGAAUUUGGAGGAUAUUAACUAAAGUUUGAGCUAGAAGUGCUGCUGACACGUUGGCACCAGCUACGAUAGAUGAAA